UUUUGACAUUAUAUAUUGUCCCUCUGGCUCUUGUUGGAAUGUAUACUGAAAGAAUGGACGGAAGGUCUGUCAUCGCUUGUUUUCUGAUGAUGCUUGUGUUGUUCGAAAGCGCAUCUGCAGACUGUGAGGAUGUUCAUUUUCAGAUCUUGUUCUGCGUCAAAUCAUCAUGCGAGGAUAUAUGCAAGUAUCAGUGGAAGGGUAAGAAGGUCUACAAGCCUUGGUGCGAUAAGUUCUUCGGUGGCUACUGCCACUGCAAGAUUUGCCAUGAUGAAUAGAACUUAAUGGAUAUGUUAGGUGCACUUCAUGCUAGAAAUAAAUAAUACAUAACUUUGUGUC